rnacentral:lncRNA from 1 species
UUUUGAUCAAUAUUCCAUUAUACCUAGUUGAAACAUCUUUGUAGAUUUCUGGUUGAUGAUUAAGAGAAUUUAAGUCUUUAGAAUGUUGAAGACAACUGAGAAAUUAUCUCCAUAAUUUCUGUUUUCUAGGCACACAUUAGCUCUAUCAGAGCUGAAGAAAAAUGUCUGAAAAUAUGAUUCCUAUUCAUUCAUUAAUUCAACAGACAUUUAUAGAGGUCCCCCUAAAUAUCAGUUACUCUCUUUUUGGUGAUCCUUCGUUUGAAACAAAGUACAGAGGGUCUUGCCCUCCUGUGGUUUCCAAUCUGUUUCUGGGACAUUUACAUUGAAAAAGUAAUUAAAAAUGUGAUGAAUAUUUUGAAAUGUAAAGCAUUGUGGAGACCUAUAAAGAGAUUUAUAGUGGUAUUAAGGCUGAGUUGGAAGAUGAGCAGGAUUUAAUAUGUGCAUAAUAGGAAAGUAAAGUGUUUUUUUGUAUGCAUUUAUUCCCAAAGCCAGGAGUUUUACCUCAACUUCAGGUCUUUACUAAGUUUGCAUUUCAUAUAUGUUUUUAUAACUAGCAAGGAAGUAAGUAGGUUUAUCAGGUUUUUAAAAUAUAUUCUUUUGGCCAAGGAUCAGAAGGCCAUCUUUUUUUUUUUUUGGUGCUGCUGGGGAUUGAAUGUAGGACUGCAUGCAUACUAGACAGGUGCUCUACCCCUAAGCUACACCCCUAAUCCUUUAGAUUAAUUUUAAAAUUCAGAAUAAAUACUUAUACUCAAACACUAAAUAUGAUAAUGGCUUCAUGUUAUGGAUUCAAUCAUAGUUGAAAUAAUAUUCUUGUAAGACAGGGUAUACCUGAAAAGAGAAAAUAAAGAACCAGAACCAAGGAAGGGAAGAUAAAUGGGAUAAUGAGAAAUAGUUACUUUUUUUUUUUUUAAGUACUAGGGAUUGAACCCAGGGCC